UAAGAUUAUUUACUUAGAGCUGCUAACUCUAAAAUAAUGUUUAACAUUUAAUCUUUA
rnacentral:tRNA from 1 species